AUAAUACAACAGGAACAGGCGGCUGCCGCGAGGCAGUGCAGCCGGGCGUUUGCAGCAGAAAGGCUCUGCGGGACCUGC
rnacentral:ncRNA from 20 species